rnacentral:rRNA from 1 species
AUUGAACGCUGGCGGAAUGCUUUACACAUGCAAGUCGAGCGGCAGCACGGGGGCAACCCUGGUGGCGAGCGGCGAACGGGUGAGUAAUACAUCGGAACAUGCCCAGUCGUGGGGGAUAACACUUCGAAAGAAGUGCUAAUACCGCAUACGUCCUGAGGGAGAAAGCGGGGGAUCUUCGGACCUCGCGCGAUUGGAGUGGCCGAUGUCAGAUUAGCUAGUUGGUGGGGUAAAGGCCUACCAAGGCAACGAUCUGUAGCUGGUCGGAGAGGAUGAUAAGCCACACUGGGACUGAGACACGGCCCAGACUCCUACGGGAGGCAGGAGUGGGGAAUUUUGGACAAUGGGGGCAACCCUGAUCCGGCCAUUCCGCGUGAGUGAAGAAGGCCUUCGGGUUGUAAAGCUCUUUCGGCAGGAACGAAACGGCGAGCUCUAACAUAGCUUGCUAAUGACGGUACCUGAAGAAGAAGCACCGGCUAACUACGUGCCAGCCGCCGCCGUAACAC